GCAGUCGAGGGGUAUAGGUUUUCGGACCUAGAGACCGGCGCGCGGGUGCGUAACGCGUAUGCAAUCUACCUUUUACAGAGGGAUAGCCCAGAGAAAUUUGGAUUAAUACCUCAUAGUAUUAUUGAAUGGCAUCAUUUAAUAAUUAAAGUCACAACGGUAAAAGAUGAGCAUGCGUCCCAUUAGCUAGUUGGUAAGGUAACGGCUUACCAAGGCAACGAUGGGUAGGGGUCCUGAGAGGGAGAUCCCCCACACUGGUACUGAGACACGGACCAGACUCCUACGGGAGGCAGCAGUGAGGAAUAUUGGUCAAUGGGCGCAAGCCUGAACCAGCCAUGCCGCGUGCAGGAUGACGGUCCUAUGGAUUGUAAACUGCUUUUGUACAGGAAGAAACAGUUCUACGUGUAGAACCUUGACGGUACUGUAAGAAUAAGGAUCGGCUAACUCCGUGCCAGCAGCCGCGGUAAUACGGAGGAUCCAAGCGUUAUCCGGAAUCAUUGGGUUUAAAGGGUCCGUAGGCGGUUUUGUAAGUCAGUGGUGAAAGCCCAUCGCUCAACGGUGGAACGGCCAUUGAUACUGCAAGACUUGAAUUAUUGGGAAGCAACUAGAAUAUGUAGUGUAGCGGUGAAAUGCUUAGAGAUUACAUGGAAUACCAAUUGCGAAGGCAGGUUGCUACCAAUAUAUUUGACCCUGAUGGACGAAAGCGUGGGGAGCCAACAGGAUUAGAUACCCUGGUAG
rnacentral:rRNA from 1 species